UACGGGGGGGGCAAGCGUUGUUCGGAAUUACUGGGCGUAAAGGGCUCGUAGGCGGCCAACUAAGUCAGACGUGAAAUCCCCGGGCUCAACCCGGGAACUGCGUCCGAGACUGGAAGGCUUGAAUCCGGGAGAGGGAUGUGGAAUUCCAGGUGUAGCGGUGAAAUGCGUAGAUAUCUGGAGGAACACCGGUGGCGAAGGCGGCAUCCUGGACCAACACUGACACUGAGGAGCGAAAGCCAGGGGAGCAAACGGG
rnacentral:rRNA from 1 species